UCGAGCGGCAGCACAGAGGAACUUGUUCCUUGGGUGGCGAGCGGCGGACGGGUGAGUAAUGCCUGGGAAAUUGCCCGGUAGAGGGGGAUAACCAUUGGAAACGAUGGCUAAUACCGCAUAACCUCGUAAGAGCAAAGCAGGGGACCUUCGGGCCUUGUGCUACCGGAUAUGCCCAGGUGGGAUUAGCUAGUUGGUGAGGUAAGGGCUCACCAAGGCGACGAUCCCUAGCUGGUCUGAGAGGAUGAUCAGCCACACUGGAACUGAGACACGGUCCAGACUCCUACGGGAGGCAGCAGUGGGGAAUAUUGCACAAUGGGCGCAAGCCUGAUGCAGCCAUGCCGCGUGUAUGAAGAAGGCCUUCGGGUUGUAAAGUACUUUCAGUAGGGAGGAAGGUGRUUAAGUUAAUACCUUAAUCAUUUGACGUUACCUACAGAAGAAGCACCGGCUAACUCCGUGCCAGCAGCC
rnacentral:rRNA from 1 species